UUCUCCUCUUCCCUCAUCCCUUGUGAUUAGAAAUAAAUUUGUUAGGUAUGUCUAGGAAACUAAUUACAUCAUCAUGAGGAAUACCCCAGUGGGAAAAUCUUUUCUUUUCAGAUCAAAAGGAUGGCCAGAGGCUACUGUGUUCAAUCCAGAAAUCUGCAGGAGAUAGUGCCUGGGCCUGGAAAGCAGCUCUGCUCCUCAGGAACAUCUGCUCACAGAAAAUGAUCAGAGAGAACGUUGACACGAGUCAUGCAAACUACCACGGACAUGCUGGGGUCCAAAGGCAUUAAAUUUGAAAGAGACAGUUCCAGAAUGCCUGCUUGUCGGGAGGAGGAGGUGGAGCUAGGUUGUAAGUACGUUUUGGCCUCCAUAUCUGUAACCUGGACAAGUUCUCUCUCUGGCUCAGGAGGAGAAGGCAAUGGAAUCAAGCCUGCCAAGACUAUAAAAGCUUUUUCAAGACUGUGAUCUGUUAGAUAAACAAUUUUCCUUCUGCUCCUCAUUCCAUAAAUCCACGCUGACUCUGACUGAUUUUUGUGUGUAUCUCAGAAUAUAAAAUCUUCUACUAACCACAAAGUAAUGGGACCUAUUCAUCUAAUUGAUCACCCCUCCACGGUACAAAUAUCCAAAGCAAUGAAGUAAGAGGAGGAAUGCAGAGCUGAGAAAGAUUAGCAGAGCUAUUGCACUUGUUGAAAUCAGUCAGUGAAUAAGAUACUCGCUUUUUAAAGAAAUAUAUAUUUUUAGGUUUAAAAAAAUGAUAGAAGUGUUAGUGUUAAAGGUUUUCUUCAAGACAUUGAAGAAAAGACAUUUUCAUUGCUUUUUCUUUUUACUUUGGAGAUACCAUAUUUUCCUCCUCUUAGGACUUCUUAGCACACUUAUCUUUAAUCCAGAGAGAGUCAGAAUUGUGCAAAAUAAAGAAGUAUACCCUGACAUACAUCAACAUGGAGCUUUUUCCUUUGGGAUUCUCCCCUGCAUUUGCAUAGACACAGUUUAUUGUAGUUGCUUUAUAAGAAGGUAAGUAAAUAAAGUCAGUUUGCAUAAGGAAUGUCUUGCACAACUUUUCGUUGUGAUGCUCACUUCCUAUCUCCCAUUCCUUCUCAUCCUCUCAAAAUCAAGCAAUAAAAAUUGAACUUUAGUUCAAUUCGAACUCUUUAGAAGAGUUUAGUUAAUUUUAUUUUAGAUUUUGAAUUUCUUUAGUAAUUAUUUCAAAAAUAGGUGGAGCACAGGGCUUAUUUGGUUUUUAACACCCAAAGGAUCCUGGGCUUUUUAAAGCUCUUUGUAUAUUUAAGUAGUAUUGUCGUUCUUAAGGUCAACAGAAUACCAGUGGUUUAAAAUCCAUGAAACCCUAGUGACCUGUCAAUUUGUAGGCCAUUUAGCCAGGUAUAGAAUGAGUUAAAAGCCCGUCUAUAAACAGUCUACCCAAAUAGAGUGUGUACUUACUAGGUUCAUAAUUACACCACAUAAAUCUUCAUUUCCCUUUUUUCUUCUAAAGACAGGACAUAUUUGUGUUUUCUGUUAAGGCACAUGGUUUCUGUUUUCAUUAAAAUUAGCAUGCAUCAAGGAAAAGACAAUGAAAAUUCCUGCUUUAUCAAAAUACUAAUAUGAGAAUAAGACUAUGUUUUAUAAGGGAGUGUUAAGGGGGCCAGGGUGUGCUUAGCUAAAAUUUGAAUGUAUAAUCAUAGUAUUUAAGUACAACUUGACAAAUGCCAUGGAACUACAUGGAAACCUUUUGCUAGAAAACUCUUACCUAGCUCUGCACUUUUGAUUUUUUUCUGUCUUUUCAAUGUUAAUAUCGUUUCUCUGUGCCAUACUCUUUAAGAGUACGUUGCUUAAGUUUAAUUUCCUAUACAAUUCAACUUUAAACCCUAUAUCCAGUAAUUCUUAUAUUGUUCUCUAACUUCUCAUUGCCCUUUUUCUACAUUUUGUACAUUAUAUUAAACAUAUUCAUUAACCAGGUAUCUCUUAUGUGUUAGGUAUUUCUUUAGGCUUCCAGAUCCUCAAUCUUGCCUAUUGAGAGCAGAUUUAAGUAAAAAAAAAAAAAAAGAUGGGUUUUGGACUAAGGCUAGAAUGAUCCCAGGCAUUUUCUUCCUGAAUUCCAUAGCUUAUUGUCUUAUUCUCUCCCAUAAGCCUAAGCUUGGCACUCAAUAGGUGCUCAUCCAAUUUUUAUUCCAGAAUUAACCUGAUGACUAAUGGUUUCUAUAAUCAAAAAAAUAAUUUACCUUGUUAUGUAUACUGCAAUAAUCAACAGCAGAUUCAAAAUUAAUUUGGUAUGAUACAUGUCUCCCAUUACUUAUUUUCAGAUUAUAUUUGGCUCUAUUCUCCUUGUCCUCAAUUAAUCCUUUUAUGUGUUAUUAAUCAAUAUUUAUUAACCUUAAUAUGUGCUUGGCACAGUCUUUGGAACAGUAGGACUCCCCGACCCCCCAAAACACACACAUGCUUAUAAUAUAUAUCAUAUACGUGUUUUGAGUCCACUUGGGUAAAUAAUUAUACACAUAUAGACUAUUAAGCAAUACAGCACUGAUAUAAUAAAAGUCAAAGGCUUAUUAAGAAUUGUUUCAGUGGUACAGACAGUAAAUUAUUGGAGUUUACAACAGGUGAUCUCUGAGGCUGACUGAGCAGGAACAGUUUUGUGGAGGCUCUGCAGCUUGAGGGGGGUCUUACAGGAUAGGUGGGGUUUGGAGACCAAGAACAACACCAUCUGUGUGUAUAAUUCUUUAGACUUCACAAGUGGUUUUAUGGGCAGUGUCUGUUUUAAUCCUCUCCUAUGUGCUGUGAGGAAAGUACUCCCACCUCCGUUUUGUGUUUGAGACAACUCUCACCAGGGUUAAAGGAACUUGCCUCAUGCCCUGGAGAAAGCCGAGCCUGCAGCCCAAGACUUCCCACCAACCCUCUUUCCUCUCAAUCAGAGUUGCUUCAAUAUAAGAAUGACACAAAGAGAAGUGUCACUGACCUAAACGCCCAGAGAUGCGUUUUCAUGAAUUCUUAUAGUCAUUUAAGCAAAGAUGUUAUGUAGAAAUCAAAGAGUAAUGGACCUUCUAUAAUGAAGAAUUCUGUGAUAAAAGAUACUUUACUUUUUAAUCUAAAGAUGGUCCUUGGAGCACACUAGGACAGAGCCUGGGCUGUGGAGACAGACUCAUUUGGGUUUAAGAGCCUGGUUCUGUUUCUUAAUCGUGAGUUCAUUUCCCAAGUUCCAUGGAAAUGUCUCCUUUCUUGAACUUUCCCUUACUUCUGCAUGCAUAAUUAUUUGCUUACUCAUCAGC